CACAUCAGUAGUGGUUAUACUAUCUCAAGAUAUAUAACUUAUUUACUUAGAAACCCAGCAAACCUUCUUACUAGCGUUAUGCUCGGUAUUAGGGUUUGCGAUCAGCUAAAUGCCUAUUGACUUUUUUAACAGAGAAGUCACAAUAGCUAUUUCGUUUCGGUUUCUUAGAUUUAUUUGGCAUAU
rnacentral:ncRNA from 1 species